rnacentral:rRNA from 1 species
GAUGAACGCUGGCGGCGUGCUUAACACAUGCAAGUCGAACGAGAAAUGGAGACGGACACCUUCGGGCGGAAGGCUUCAUUUCGAGUGGCGGACGGGUGAGUAACGCGUGGGUAACCUGCCUCAUACAGGGGGAUAACAGUUGGAAACGACUGUUAAUACCGCAUAAGACCACAGCACCGCAUGGUGCGGGGGUAAAAACUCCGGUGGUAUGAGAUGGACCCGCGUUCGAUUAGCCAGUUGGCGGGGUAACGGCCCACCAAAGCGACGAUCGAUAGCCGAUCUGAGAGGAUGACCGGCCACAUUGGGACUGAGACACGGCCCAAACUCCUACGGGAGGCAGCAGUGGGGAAUAUUGCACAAUGGGGGAAACCCUGAUGCAGCGACGCCGCGUGAGUGAAGAAGUACUUCGGGAUGUAAAGCCCUAUCAGCAGGGAAGAAAAUGACGGUACCUGAGUAAGAAGCCCCGGCUAACUACGUG